GCCCAUCAGCUAGCCCAAUACCCAAAACCAACAAACCCCCAUUUAUACCCCCAAACACACUAAUUUCCCCUAAAACAAACCAUUUUUCCCCCUUAGUAUAGGCGAUAGAAAAGGACCUGUGGAGCGAUAGAGAAAGUACCGCAAGGGAAAGCUGAAAGAGAAAUGAAAUAACCCAGUAAAGCACAAAAAAGCAGAGAUAUCCCCUCGUAUUU
rnacentral:rRNA from 1 species